GAAACUUGGUUUGGUGAUGGUGUGUUGUUGUAGUUUGGUAGUGGGUUUCUUCUGGUAUUAGGCUGGUCUAGGUCGGUCAGUUUUCUAAAAUUAAUGAGGACUUGAAUUCAUGUUUCAAGCGGAUGCAAUUGUCUGUAUGGUGGCUGGGUGCAUGGUGGAACUUGCAGUCGGUGUUGGGCUUGUAGCCAGGUGCAUUUGGGUUAGGUGCGUUUUUAGAGGUGGUUGGUUGGAGCAUGACAUUCUACACUAACCUCUCAAAGAUCUUCAAAUGAGGUUGCCUGAAGUUAGAGAACUUUCUCGGUUGUUAGAUAGCAUUCACAUCUAGAGUUUUACUCCCUCCAGCCUGAUAAUUCGGCCUUCCUCCAGUUCGC
rnacentral:lncRNA from 1 species